UACAGAGGUCCCAAGCGUUGUUCGGAUUCAUUGGGCGUAAAGGGUGCGUAGGCGGCGCGGUAAGUCGGGUGUGAAAUCUCGGGGCUUAACUCCGAAACUGCAUUCGAUACUGCCGUGCUUGAGGACUGGAGAGGAGACUGGAAUUUACGGUGUAGCGGUGAAAUGCGUAGAUAUCGUAAGGAAGACCAGUGGCGAAGGCGGGUCUCUGGACAGUUCCUGACGCUGAGGCACGAAGGCCAGGGGAGCACACGGG
rnacentral:rRNA from 1 species